rnacentral:rRNA from 1 species
UACGGAGGGAGCUAGCGUUGUUCGGAAUUACUGGGCGUAAAGCGCACGUAGGCGGCUUUGUAAGUUAGAGGUGAAAGCCCGGGGCUCAACUCCGGAACUGCCUUUAAGACUGCAUCGCUUGAAUCCAGGAGAGGUGAGUGGAAUUCCGAGUGUAGAGGUGAAAUUCGUAGAUAUUCGGAAGAACACCAGUGGCGAAGGCGGCUCACUGGACUGGUAUUGACGCGUGAGGUGCGA